rnacentral:rRNA from 1 species
UACGGGGGGGGCAAGCGUUGUUCGGAAUUACUGGGCGUAAAGCGUGCGCAGGCGGUUAUAUAAGACAGUUGUGAAAUCCCCGGGCUCAACCUGGGAACUGCAUCUGUGACUGUAUAGCUAGAGUACGGUAGAGGGGGAUGGAAUUCCGCGUGUAGCAGUGAAAUGCGUAGAUAUGCGGAGGAACACCGAUGGCGAAGGCAAUCCCCUGGACCUGUACUGACGCUCAUGCACGAAAGCGUGGGGAGCAAACAGG